GUGUUGAUGGUAUAGUGAUGAACAUAGCUGCCUUCCAAGCAGUUGACCCAGUUUUGAUUCCCAGCCAACACA
rfam:Tupaia chinensis contig943, whole genome shotgun sequence.